GUUUACAUUUCAAACUAAGUUAUUAUAGUUGACAUUCCGACUAAAGUUACUUGUUUAUUUUCAACCUAUGCUGCACUAACAAUCAUAUGGAUAUGUUUUAUUCUACAUUGAAUUGAAGAUUUAAAAAAGUUUCCUAGUGAAUAGUGAAAAUAAACCUUUUAUUUCAAACGAUAUACUCAAGAGAUAUGGCCAAUAAAAUAACAUACAAUCAAAUUUAUUGAAUCAAAAAGGUUUGCCAAAAAAGCAAAAAGCGCUUCGUUAGAUCCUUUUGUGGCGGGCAUAAUUUAAUAUUUACAAAACCAAAUAACUAACCACUAGGAAUAACAAAGUCAAUGAACGCACACACUCGCAGCAACCCAGACAAAUUUAAUGAGAGACUCUGUUGGAGGGAGAAAUAUGUAUUCUCUGAUGACAUCGCCUCAUCUUUCACACACACGCAGUGUGCUGGAUUACUUAUCACAACUUAUACGCAUUUAUUUGUGUUUUUUAUUUAUUUUUGCAAUCUUUAUUUUGUUUUUAUACCCAAACACUUGACUCACUGGAACGGCAUAAUGUAUUGAAGUGAAUCGAAAUUUUUGUCAGGCUCAAAAAAUAUAUUUUAUAUAAAUACUUUAUCAACAACACAAACCAGAUGAUAUCCAUACAUACAUAUGUAUGUAUGCAGUCAUGC